GCUUGUCUCAAAGAUUAAGCCAUGCAUGUCUAAGUAUAAGCGACUAUACUGUGAAACUGCGAAUGGCUCAUUAAAUCAGUUAUGGUUUAUUUGAUGGUACCUACUACUUGGAUAACCGUAGUAAUUCUAGAGCUAAUACAUGCAGGAAGACCCGACUCACGAAGGGUUGUAUUUAUUAGAUACAAAACCAACAUCUCGUUGGUGAUUCAUAAUAACCAAGCGAAUCGUCGGUUUACCGACGAUAGAUCGUUCAAGUUUCUGACCUAUCAGCUUUGGUCGGUAGGGUAUUGGCCUACCGAGGCAAUGACGGGUAACGGAGAAUUAGGGUUCGAUUCCGGAGAGGGAGCCUGAGAAACGGCUACCACAUCUAAGGAAGGCAGCAGG
rnacentral:rRNA from 1 species